GUUACUGCUAUCGAGGUUCGACUAAGCCAUGCGAGUCGAAUGUAGCAAUACAUGGCGUACUGCUCAGUAACACGUGGAUAACCUACCCUUGAGACGGGGAUAAACCCGGGAAACUGGGUAUAAUACCCGAUAGAUCUCGACUGCUGGAAUGCAUCGAGCUUGAAAGCUCCGGCGCUCAAGGAUGGGUCUGCGGCCUAUCAGGUAGUAGUGGGUGUAGCGUACCUACUAGCCUACGACGGGUACGGGUUGUGAGAGCAAGAGCCCGGAGAUGGAUUCUGAGACACGAAUCCAGGCCCUACGGGGUGCAGCAGGCGCGAAAACUUUACAAUGCUGGAAACAGCGAUAAGGGGACCUCGAGUGCCAGGUUACAAAUCUGGCUGUCGUGAUGCCUAAAAAGCAUUGCAUAGCAAGGGCCGGGCAAGACCGGUGCCAGCCGCCGCGGUAACACCGGCGGCUCGAGUGGUAACCGUUAUUAUUGGGUCUAAAGGGUCUGUAGCCGGCCGGAUAAGUCUCUUGGGAAAUCCAGCAGCUCAACUGUUGGGCUUUCAGGAGAUACUGUCUGGCUCGAGGCCGGGAGAGGUGAGAGGUACUUCAGGGGUAGGGGUGAAAUCUUGUAAUCCUUGAAGGACCACCAGUGGCGAAGGCGUCUCACCAGAACGGACCUGACGGCAAGGGACGAAAGCUAGGGACACGAACCGGAUUAGAUACCCGGGUAGUCCUAGCCGUAAACGAUACUCGCUAGGUGUCGGCAACGGUGCGACCGUUGUCGGUGCCGUAGGGAAGCCGUGAAGCGAGCCACCUGGGAAGUACGGCCGCAAGGCUGAAACUUAAAGGAAUUGGCGGGGGAGCACCACAACGGGUGGAGCUUGCGGUUUAAUUGGAUUCAACGCCGGAAAUCUUACCGGGACCGACAGCAAUAUGAAGGCCAGGCUGAAGACUUUGCCGGAUUAGCUGAGAGGUGGUGCAUGGCCGUCGUCAGUUCGUACUGUGAAGCAUCCUGUUAAGUCAGG
rnacentral:rRNA from 1 species